rnacentral:rRNA from 1 species
CCCGCACAAGCGGUGGAGUAUGUGGCUUAAUUCGAUGCAACGCGAAGAACCUUACCUAGGCUUGACAUGUAUUGCUAAGCACGUGAAAGCGUGUGACCCUUCGGGGACCUUACACAGGUGCUGCAUGGCCGUCGUCAGCUCGUGUCGUGAGAUGUUUGGUUAAGUCCAGCAACGAGCGCAACCCCUGUGGAUAGUUGCCAGCAAGUAAUGUUGGGGACUCUAUCCAGACUGCCCAGGUCAACUGGGAGGAAGGUGGGGAUGACGUCAGGUCAGUAUGGCCCUUACGCCUAGGGCUGCACACGUACUACAAUGCCCAGUACAAUGAGAACCGAGACCGCGAGGUGGAGGAAAUCUGUAAAACUGGGCCCAGUUCGGAUUGGAGGCUGCAACUCGCCUCCAUGAAGUUGGAAUCGCUAGUAAUGGCACAUCAGCUACGGUGCCGUGAAUACGUUCCCGGGUCUUGUACACACCGCCCGUCACAUCAUGGAAGCCGAUCGCACCCGAAGUAUCUGCGCUAACUAUUUAUAGAAGCAAGGUCCUAAGGUGUAGUUGGUAACUGGGAUG